AACGUGGAUUUGGGCAGAGAACGUGGAUUUGGGCAGAGAACGUGGAUUUGGGCAGAGAACGUGGAUUUGGGCAGAGAACGUGGAUUUGGGCAGAGAACGUGGAUUUGGGCAGAGAACGUGGAUUUCCCCAGAACGUGAUUGUAGACGGCUGGUGUGAGUUCGGGAAUAAAGAGUUGCUGUUUGAAUCUACAAGCUGUGUGGUGGCUCGUGAUUGUGUGCCCAGCCAGACUUCGGCAUUUGUGCCCAGCCAGACUGCGGCACUGGCUUGCUCUUCUGCCACAUCUCAGCAUGCUCCUAGAUUCCUGGGGGGGUGAUUCAAAGGCAGAUAAAACUUUCACUGUUCAAUUGGGAAGAUAAGAUGAAAACAUACAGCAAUCAGAAAACAAUUCAAGAUGGCGUUUUGGCUCUUCCACACCAGCCUACAGCUUUGAGCCAGACUCGUAAAUGCUUUGAGUCUAAGCUUUAUCAUUUUAAAAUACAGAUAUUAUGAACACUUUCCUCAUGUAUCUCACGGGGUAUGGUGAAGACCAAAGGAGAUAAUGGGUAGCAAAGUAUGUCUAAGAUAAGGGAAUACAAUGGCCCUUAAAUAUAUACAACAAUGUUCAACCUCAUUCAGAAUAAGAGAAAUGAAAAUUAAAAUUACACUGUGAUAAACAAUUUUUUCACCUAUCAGAUUGGCAUCAGCCCAGAAAGUUGAAAAUACACUCUAAUAGUGAUGUUGUAAGGAAAUAAGCAUUCUCGUCUUUCUCCUGGGAAGACAAAUGUGUGUAACCUCUAUGGAGGGUAAUUUGGCAAUAUCUAUCAACAUUUUAAACACACAAUCUUCUGACCUAGAAAUUCCACGUCUGGGAAUUCAGCCUAUAAAUAUAUUCGCAUAAGUGCCAAGGAUCUGUUUACGGCUCUUUGUUGCAGGAUGUUUGUGAAGGAAAGAGAUUUGAAGUGAUAUAAAUGCUCAUCAAGAGGAGUCUCUUUUGGCUGAGGGCGUGGAUCAGGAUCAAGUGCUUGCCUAGGAUGAAGAGGCCCUGGGUGCCAUCCCCAGGGAUCUCUUUAAGAGGCUUUGAUUCAUUCGUAUCAUGGAGAAUUACACAGCAGUAAAAAGGGAAGAGGAAGAAAGCUUCACAAUUAUGUACAAAGCAGGUCAUCAAGUGAAGAAAAGUAAGGUACAGAGAGAGGUAUAGUGUAUAUAGUAGCUACAUUCUGUGUCUUUAAAAAAGGGAAAUAGGAAUAUUUGCCUGUGCACACAGAAUGAUACUCCAGAAGAAUCUUUGAGACUGUCAUGUAUAACUAAAAAGAAAAAAUAAAAGAAAAUUAUACUGAUGGUUAUCUAUCAAUCAGGGGCAAGCCUGGGGUCUGGAAGGGUAGGAGAGGGGAGGAGGGUAAACAGGGAGAUUCUUUGAUAUUUGCCUUUUACUGUAGAUUUUUGAAUUUUAGAACUAUUGUGAAUGUAUUCCCAAUUCAACAACAUACAUUAAAAAUUGCUUUGGGCUGGGGCUGUAGCUCAGGGGUAGAACACUUGCCUAGCACGUGGGAGGCAUUGGGUUCGAUCCUCAGCACCACAUAAAAAUAAAUAAAUAAAACAAACAUACUAAACUACAAGUAAAAAUAUUUAAAAAAAAAUGGUUUGUGGAUUGUGAAGCACUUUACCAAUGCUUGUUCCUUGGACUAUUGCUAGUAUUUAAGUGGAUUAAAUUGCAGGGUCUGCAGAAGGCCUAGAAGAGAAUUCUUGGGGGUCCCAGGGGGUAGGAUUAGCUGGAGUGUAGGGUCUUGAGGGAAGCAUUCCUUAUUGUUCAGUUCGACAAUGGCUGGUCAGAGUCUGCAAGUGUGGCUCAGUGGCAGUGUGCAUGCCACACACCAAGUCCUGGGGUCAAACCCCAGCACCCCAUGUUAAGCAGUCUGGCCCACCGUAGGCCAGACUGGUGAAGACUGCUCCUCUUGCCCAGGUGACCGUGGCAGUGAC
rnacentral:lncRNA from 1 species